rnacentral:rRNA from 1 species
CCUACGGGAGGCAGCAGUAGGGAAUUUUCGUCAAUGGGCGCAAGCCUGAACGAGCAAUGCCGCGUGAACGAGGAAGGUCUUCGGAUCGUAAAGUUCUGUUGAAGGGGAAAAAGAGCGGAGAGAGGAAAUGGUCUCCGAUUGAUAUUACCCUUCGAGGAAGUCACGGCUAACUACGUGCCAGCAGCCGCGGUAAUACGUAGGUGGCGAGCGUUAUCCGGAAUUAUUGGGCGUAAAGGGUGCGCAGGCGGCAAGAAAAGCUUAAGGUGAAUGCGUGGGGCUCAACCCCAUAAAGCCUUAGGAACUAG